UGAAUUCUGACCCAGCUGGAGGUGGGGUGGGGGCUCCCCUGAUGCCUUGAUCCGGAUCCAGCGUGCCUGUCCUGCACUCUGCCGGAGCCCUCUGCAUUUGGAGCACUUCUCAUUGGGAGUGAAAUGGAUACAUCCAGUGCCCUGUGAUUGGAUGCCGCAGGCUGGAGCAGCAGUUCGAGGCUGGGACCCUUUGCAGAUAAGGAGCCUCUGUAGCUUUCAGGACUGCAACAGUUUGACCAUUUCCCAGGCAAAUCCACAAAGAAGCAAAAAUGUUCACAAGCAGGUUCACUCCUGGAAGCAGAAUUGGACAGUUGAAUGGGUUUAUGUGUUCUUAUUCCUGUUGGUUUCCACAGAGGUUAGUGCAGAGGCUCAGCCUGGCUCAGAGACGUGCCUGGGGUCCCCACUAUAUGGCAAACCAAUGAAGAAUCAUGUCAUCCCCUGAGAUCCGCAGAGCAUGGUGUUCCUCAGGGGACUCAAGGCUGCCUUCGAGUUUUUGGAGAGACUGGAAACAAUCUUACCUUGCUCCCAGCCAGACCUCCGGGGUCCUGGACACCUGCUUUCAACAUGCAGAAAUUCCUGAGACACGUUAUCUUCCCCGCCCCAAACCUGAGAGUAUACAAUCAGUCUGGCCUCACAAUCCCAGGGCAGUGCUCGCCCACAGGUCUGUCCCCACGCUGCAAUAAAAGCUGCUCCGAAGA